AGGCGGAGGAUCUGAUGAAACGAAAGGCCGCCGAUGGAAAAGCAGCGCCCGCCUCAGUCAAGUGCUCAAGCGCUAUGUCAUUACUCUCUUCUCCCUCCAUGGACAAUACUACCCCCCACCCCACCCACCCCUGCAACACGGAAAAGUGUACGCGGCACAACUGUAGGCACUUGUAAUCACCACCACCACCACUCCUGCUUUUGCUUGCUCCUCCGGCAAGGUCGUCGGCGCUUCAUUAGUGAUUUCCUCUGGUCUGGCUCCAUCUUGAAGCUACGAUCCAAGCCUCUUAUAGAUCCACAUGCCAGGAUAUCGAUCGAUCUGAUCGAGCGCUUGGCAAGAGAUGCAAAGAGCG
rnacentral:misc_RNA from 1 species